GGCAAGCUGUGGGAAAUUCAGGCACCAGUAACAGCACAGAUCUGGGAAACAUUCACGAAUUAACCAGCUGAGGGAGCACAAGGCAUCGGUUUUUCAGUAACAGCAUAAUGGACUUGAGGGACUUGGAGAAGAAACAGCAUGGUUGACCAGAAUUACUGUAUUCCUGCCAGAUUCAGUUUGUGUCUGCUGCUCCUCAUUCAGCAUUUGAUUUCCUGAAGACACCAUGGCAAAGUCACUGUAUGAAAUAGGAAAUUUAGAACAGAGACAAAAAUGGCUUUUCAUGAACAUUGAGUUGAAGCUGGCCAGUGGGUUCAAAAGUGGUUGGGUAUGGUGGGGAGAGCCAGAUGGACAUCACAGCUGCAGGAGUCUCAUCCCUUCCAAAAUCAGGAUAAAAAUGGAGUUGCUACACUCCCCUGGGACUUACAUAAAUCAGAUUUAUGGUUCCUCAUGCUGCUACCAUGAACCUAUACCAGGAAAUGCUCAGACACACAGUCCAAAGGUUAAGUGCAUUUUUUAGUAUAUGUAUAUUUAUAUAUUUAGUAUAUGUAUAUUUAUUUAUUUAGUAUACUUUUGUAAAUGGUGUUUUUAAGGAAACAUUAAAUCUUACAGCGUGCACAAACAUUUUACCAAACUUUUCAUUCUGCUUUAUUUAUAUGCUGCAACAGUUAUAUUCCAUGUUUUGAAUGACAGUUCUUCAAACCAUUUCUUUUUGUACUGUAAGUGCAUUUAUGAAAAGACAGGGUAUAUUUUUGCUCACUUAAAUGUACCAGGAGCAUCAAGGGGUAAUUUUUCAGACACUUAGUAUUUUGUUGCUUCUACAGAUGCAAUUAAUUACAAAAAUCUUUUCAAACACUGAAAUUCUAGUUCAGUUGCAUUACGAAAAUGUAUGGUGAG
rnacentral:lncRNA from 1 species